rfam:Gossypium hirsutum cultivar TM-1 chromosome 26, whole genome shotgun sequence
CACGUCAGCGCGCUUUGCUGACGUGGCAGUAAAUCGCGUUUGUUGCCAUGUCAGCAAAGCGCGCUGAUGUGG